CAGAGAUAUCAAUCAGGGGAGUCAAAAACCAGGCUUCCGCUGUGGGAUUUCACAAUAAAAGACGUGUCAAGGAACUUGUUGCUUUUGGUGGUGGGAAGUAACCUAGUACUGUUCUUAAGUACAGUUUUGAGGUACUUAUACUUUUCUUAGGUAUUUUCAUUUUGUAAUCGCAAAGAUUUUCAUUCAAAUGUCUGUUUAUUUCAAUGAAGGAGCACAAUGGGGAUUGAGCAUAGCACUGAUACAAGUGUAUUGCAAUAUUUAUAUAUUUGCAGUAUUACGA